rnacentral:rRNA from 1 species
CCUACGGGAGGCAGCAGUGGGGAAUUUUGGACAAUGGGCGCAAGCCUGAUCCAGCCAUGCCGCGUGCGGGAAGAAGGCCUUCGGGUUGUAAACCGCUUUUGUCAGGGAAGAAACGCGCUGGGUUAAUACCUCGGCGUAAUGACGGUACCUGAAGAAUAAGCACCGGCUAACUACGUGCCAGCAGCCGCGGUAAUACGUAGGGUGCAAGCGUUAAUCGGAAUUACUGGGCGUAAAGCGUGCGUAGGCGGUCGCGCAAGACAGGUGUGAAAUCCCCGGGCUCAACCUGGGAACUGCACUUGUGACUGCGCGGCUAGAGUACGGCAGAGGGGGAUGGAAUUCCGCGUGUAGCAGUGAAAUGCGUAGAUAUGCGGAGGAACACCGAUGGCGAAGGCAGUCCCCUGGGCCUGUACUGACGCUGAGGCACGAAAGCGUGGGGAGCA